rnacentral:rRNA from 1 species
UACGGGGGGGGCAAGCGUUGUUCGGAAUUACUGGGCGUAAAGGGCGCGUAGGCGGCCAUCUAAGUCAGACGUGAAAUCCCUCGGCUCAACCGAGGAACUGCGUCUGAUACUGGAAGGCUUGAAUCCGGGAGAGGGAUGUGGAAUUCCAGGUGUAGCGGUGAAAUGCGUAGAUAUCUGGAGGAACACCGGUGGCGAAGGCGGCAUCCUGGACCGGUAUUGACGCUGAGGCGCGAAAGCUAGGGGAGCGAACAGG